GUCGAACGGAGCUUAGAGAGCUUGCUUUUUAAGCUUAGUGGCGAACGGGUGAGUAACGCGUGAGUAACCUGCCCUAGAGUGGGGGACAACAGUUGGAAACGACUGCUAAUACCGCAUAAGCCCACGGUACCGCAUGGUACUGAGGGAAAAGGAUUUAUUCGCUUUAGGAUGGACUCGCGUCCAAUUAGCUAGUUGGUGAGGUAACGGCCCACCAAGGCGACGAUUGGUAGCCGGACUGAGAGGUUGAACGGCCACAUUGGGACUGAGACACGGCCCAGACUCCUACGGGAGGCAGCAGUGGGGGAUAUUGCACAAUGGGGGAAAUCCUGAUGCAGCGACGCCGCGUGGAGGAAGAAGGUUUUCGGAUUGUAAACUCCUGUCGUUAGGGACGAUAAUGACGGUACCUAACAAGAAAGCACCGGCUAACUACGUGCCAGCAGCCGCGGUAAAACGUAGGGUGCAAGCGUUGUCCGGAAUUACUGGGUGUAAAGGGAGCGCAGGCGGGAAGACAAGUUGGAAGUGAAAACCAUGGGCUCAACCCAUGAAUUGCUUUCAAAACUGUUUUUCUUGAGUAGUGCAGAGGUAGAUGGAAUUCCCGGUGUAGCGGUGGAAUGCGUAGAUAUCGGGAGGAACACCAGUGGCGAAGGCGGUCUACUGGGCACCAACUGACGCUGAGGCUCGAAAGCAUGGGUAGCAAACAGGAUUAGAUACCCUGGUAGUCCAUGCCGUAAACGAUGAUUAUUAGGUGUUGGGGGAUUGACCCCCUCAGUGCCGCAGUUAACACAAUAAGUAAUCCACCUGGGGAGUACGACCGCAAGG
rnacentral:rRNA from 1 species